rnacentral:rRNA from 1 species
UAGAGGAAGUAAAAGUCGUAACAAGGUUUCCGUAGGUGAACCUGCGGAAGGAUCAUUAAUGAAAUUUAUGACUGGGGUUGUCGCUGGCCUUUAAAAACGGCAUGUGCACGCCCCUUUCACUAAUCCACACACACCUGUGCACCUUCGCGGGGGCUCUUGGGAACCGACGCAAGUCGUAAGUACCGGAGCUCGCGUCCCUUUACACACCCCUUUGUAUGUCUUAAGAAUGUCUACUCGAUGUAAUAAAACGCAUCUAAUACAACUUUCAACAACGGAUCUCUUGGCUCUCGCAUCGAUGAAGAACGCAGCGAAAUGCGAUAAGUAAUGUGAAUUGCAGAAUUCAGUGAAUCAUCGAAUCUUUGAACGCACCUUGCGCCCUUUGGUAUUCCGAAGGGCACACCUGUUUGAGUGUCGUGAAAUUCUCAACCCUCUUCACUUUUUUGGUGAAGCCAGGGCUUGGACUUGGAGGCUUUGCCGGCUCUGCUCGGCUCCUCUCAAAUGCAUUAGUGCGUCUUGUUGCGACGUGCGCCUCGGUGUGAUAAUUAUCUACGCUGUGGUGCGCUUGCUUCUGUGGAGACGCGCUUUCAAACCGUCCGAAAGGACAACUUUCAUCGAACUUUGACCUCAAAUCAGGUGGGACUACCCGCUGAACUUAAGCAUAUCAAU